rnacentral:rRNA from 1 species
GCGAACGCUGGCGGCAGGCUUAACACAUGCAAGUCGAACGGGCUUCUUCGGAAGUCAGUGGCAGACGGGUGAGUAACACGUGGGAACGUGCCCUUCGGUUCGGAAUAACUCAGGGAAACUUGAGCUAAUACCGGAUACGCCCUUAUGGGGAAAGGUUUACUGCCGAAGGAUCGGCCCGCGUCUGAUUAGCUUGUUGGUGGGGUAACGGCCUACCAAGGCGACGAUCAGUAGCUGGUCUGAGAGGAUGAUCAGCCACACUGGGACUGAGACACGGCCCAGACUCCUACGGGAGGCAGCAGUGGGGAAUAUUGGACAAUGGGCGCAAGCCUGAUCCAGCCAUGCCGCGUGAGUGAUGAAGGCCUUAGGGUUGUAAAGCUCUUUUGUCCGGGACGAUAAUGACGGUACCGGAAGAAUAAGCCCCGGCUAACUUCGUG